CUCCGCGUCUCACACCCUUCGUGUCAACACGAGAACGGCGACAUAGGCCGACACUUCUGCCUCCAUCCUUAACCCCACAUCUUGAUCUUUUGGGGAGGAGGAGAACUUGCACGAGUGUGUGGGCGGCAGGAGUGAUGGCGAUGAGGGGGAAUGAGGCAUUGGGGGCGCACCUCGGGAUGGCGCUGGUGCAGGCGACCAACGGCGGCUUCCACGUGCUGACCAAGUCCGUGCUCAACGUCGGCAUGAACGAAGUGGCCUUCUGCGUCUACCGCGACUUCGUCGCCAUCUCCAUCCUCGCCCUCCUCCAACGAUGCAGGUUCCAAUGCUGAUCAAGUAUCCUUCCUGCUUGUCUUUGACAACAUACUUGUAUUUUUUUGGGGGUGGUAUUGACUGGAAUAUUUACCACUGGUUGUCAUACAGAGUGGAUGUUGACACCAUCAGAAAUAAUUGCUGUCUUAUAUGCAGAGGAUUUAUCUUCAUAACCAAUGAUCUGAAUCAAGAUUGCAAACCAUGGCGCCAAGGUUUAUCCAUUGAUGAUCUAUAACUUACUAUGAUCCAUGAGGACUAAAGAGUCGUAGAAGACAACCUAGUGGAAGCAUCAGGUCUCUUCACAGGUGUUGCAUCUUCUUGAAGAGGUGCAGAUUCAUGAUCUCCAUAACUGAUCCCUGUGGUCAAUUCUGUCUCCUUAUAUAUAUAUAUAUAUAUAUAUAUAUAUAUAGAGAGAGAGAGAGAGAGAGAGAGAGAGAGAGCAACCAUAAUAGCUUAGAACACAUGAUGAACAGUAACAUAUCAAAUUUUCUUAUCAAGAGAAAUUAAGGAUAUUGCAGAAUGUAUGAUUCAAGAAGGCAAUGAAAAAUCUUGCAAAUGGUUGUGCACCAUUCAUUUA